UACGGAGGGGGCUAGCGUUGUUCGGAAUUACUGGGCGUAAAGCGCGCGUAGGCGGCUUAGCAAGUUAGAGGUGAAAGCCCGAAGCUCAACUUCGGAAUUGCCUUUAAAACUGCAAAGCUAGAAUCAUGGAGAGGUGAGUGGAAUUCCUAGUGUAGAGGUGAAAUUCGUAGAUAUUAGGAAGAACACCGGUGGCGAAGGCGGGUCUCUGGGCCGAUACUGACGCUGAGGAGCGAAAGCGUGGGGAGCGAAACAGG
rnacentral:rRNA from 1 species